rnacentral:lncRNA from 1 species
GCUUGAGAAAUCUGUUGUCGAGUCUGGUGCAAUCGUUAUGUAUUACUGGAUUAAUGAAGCUAACAGUCAAAAUAUGCUGUUUAGAGGUUAGUAUUUGGACUUUUAAAAAUGUUGACGGCUGGGAGGGCACGUUUUGGGGCAGAAAUUUGAAGGAAAAAGCAAAAAAAUUUUAAUAAAUCACAAAUAUAGUUGUGCGGUGAUGUAAAAAUAAUAUAUAAUAUUGAUAAUAAUAAAUUGUGUAUAAUUACAGAGAUCCUUGCUCACGUCGAUUCCACGUGAAAUAUAGCAAAUUCAUUAUAUUAAUUAAUAUAAGAGUUAGUGGGAGCUUAUAAAUUAUAAUACUACUACUACUACUACUACUACUACUAAUAAUAAUAAUAAUAAUAAUAAUCGCAUGGUAUAUAUAUAUAUAUAUAUAUAUAUAUAUAUAUAUAUAUAUACCGGAGUAAACACAUAAAUGUGAAACAAGGUGGGAAAAGGAGUACUCAAAUACCAGUGGUAGAGUAAUAUGCUUUAUUUAAAGCAGUAGAAAAUUCAACAAAACCUGUUACUCUGAGUUUCCCGUUGCCGUUCGUCGGACAGUUUUUGCUAGAAAAAACUGUCCGACGAAUGGCAACGGGAAACUCAGAGUAACAGGUUUUGUUGAAUUUUCUGCUGCUUUAAAUAAAGUAUAUAUAUAUAUAUAUAUAUAUAUAGUGAACCAGUGAGAGAAACUUCACUUUCGUCGGGCCACUCGGACUGCUAAAAGUGGCAGCCGUAAUCCGCUUGCUGUCGUACUCUGCCGACUUGAGGACAGAAGGAGUAUCUGUAUAUUUUGCCCUCCUCCUUGAUAUACAAAAGACAAAAAAGGAUUUAAAAUAAUAAAAAAACGGGUUGUCGCUGCGUCUGGGACGGUUUUGGUCUUAGGUUUGGCCGAUCGAAGGAUAAACAACAGCAAACACAUACUCAUACACACACAUAAAUUUCGUUAAUUAGUUACUAAUUAAUAAUGAUAAUAAUAAUAAUAAUAAUAAUAAUACUUUAAAGGUUUACUGAAAGAGUAAGGGCGAUACAGUACAGUGGAAUAUGACGGGUGGUUACGUAACGGCAGGUAAUUGACGAAACAAACAGAAAUCUUAAUAAUCGUACUUUGAAAUUUUCGGAAAAAGCCAGCGAUUUGAGACGGCGGCUAAAUCUAUUUCAGUGACGCCUGUACUCAUCUGGUACUCAUCGACCUGAAAAGAUGAGAGGCAAAGCUGACCUCGACGGGAUUUGAGCUCUGAAUAGAAAGAGCCGGAUGAAAUGCUGCUAAGCAUUUUUGUUCGACGCACAAAUGGUUCUGCUAAUUCACUAAGUCUACUUAGGGAUUCUUUAGUUUAAUAUAUGAAAUACUACGAUUGAGAACCGAAGACUAGGUUAUAGAAUAGUUCGAAACCCCCGCUGGGUGACCGAUUCAUUCCUGUUUUAUGUUAGAUGAGUUUAUUUCUGAAAAUUAAUGAUGUUGAGAAAAGCAUGAACACCACAACAUCCAUUGGAUUUAGCUAAUUUACUCUGUGUUUAGUAGAAUGCACCAUCAAUCAUUAGGCAAGCAGUUUAUCUCCCAUCAAUCACAUUAUCGACAAGCGGAACCAAAUAUAUUGUGGAUUACAUAUUUUAUCCACUCUCAGAAUUAUCCACGAGUAUUUUAUUCUGAGUGGCCGAGCGUGACUACUUUGGAACACAUACAUACAUUUGCCUUAUAUAUAUAUAUAUAUAUAUAUAUAUAUAUAUAUAUAUAUAUAUAUAUACAUACAUACAUACACAUUCAAUUUCUUCCUCAACGCGAUGCAUGCUUAUCAGCACACUGCUUCAAGGCUCUCUGUCCUUCAUUAGCUUCGGUAAGGUUAGCAAUUCCAUGUUGUGCGUCUCGGCCAAUAACAACAAUGCUGUCGGGUGCUUUCGUCCUUUAUAAAGGUACAGAAGUCUUCAAGGUAUAAUACCCGAUAUGACCCAUUGUUUAGCACGGUAGAUGUGACCAGCAGAGCCCGUCUCUGUGUUGAGCAACGCAGUGGAAGAGAUGAGGAUGUAUUCUCUUUGGCCUUCUGCUCAUGCCAUCAGAUGUUUUGCGUCCUUGGGUGAAGCCUAUUGUACAUAUCACCAGGGUGAUCAUGAAUCUCCCUGUACAUAGUCCUGCUUUUAGCUCAAGAAAUACCGUUAAUUGCUCUCUGUUUGUCGAACUGCUACUUUCCUGGACAUAAAUUGAGCACACGCAACAAACAGCAACAUCUUUUGAGACAUGUGUAAACACACACAGAAAAGUAUACAUACAUUUCACUGGAAAAUGAUAUUACUGUAUUGUAAUAAUAAUAGUCAUACUAAUAACAUACAUAUACAUUUAUAUCUUUGUUGGGGACAUGAUUCUGCCAUUUGAUGCCAAGGAUUUUCCGGAGGCAGCGCAGGUGGAAGAUAUUUAGGCGACGCUCUUGGCCUAUGUAUGGCGUCCAAGUCUCACUUCCAUACAGUAGUGUGCUAAGUACACAUG